UACGAAGGGGGCUAGCGCUGUUCGGAAUCACUGGGCGUAAAGGGCGCGUAGGCGGCUGUUCAAGUCGGGGGUGAAAGCCUGUGGCUCAACCACAGAAUUGCCUUCGAUACUGGACGGCUGGAGACCGGAAGAGGUCAGUGGAACUGCGAGUGUAGAGGUGAAAUUCGUAGAUAUUCGCAAGAACACCAGUGGCGAAGGCGGCUGACUGGUCCGGUUCUGACGCUGAGGCGCGAAAGCGUGGGGAGCAAACAGG
rnacentral:rRNA from 1 species